UAUUAUUGAAAAAAUGCUGAACAGCUAGUCUCAACAGUGUUUAUAGGCUAGAAUUUUCAGUUUGCAUUAGGGCCAAAAUUAUUAAAUAUAUUGUUAGUCAUGACGGCUUUCCCAUUGCUGUCAUCAAACUUUAACCUUGUUCAUAACUUUUUCAGAUCUUUGAGUAUUGUCUUCAUACUUGGCCACAACAACCCUUCAAAUAGACCAGACUAAACUAAAUUAACUUGACCACCAUAUUAACAUUCAAGAAGUUCGGCCUACAUGUCAGAUUUAUGAAUGUGAACAGCAGGAUAUCGAUUUUAAGGAUGCUUUAGGGUCAAUGACAAUGAAAUCACGAGAGACAAAGGCUAAAAUGUGAGACUGUCAAUCUGACUAACCUUGAAGUGAACAAAUGGAAAAAAUGUCUCUUUCAAUAGCAUGGGCUUUUAAGGAAGAGGAAACAGAGGCGCUUAUAUGAUAGAACAGUAAAAGCAGGAGUGAUAAGGAAAGAUACAUGUAGAUGUGUCUUCAUGUCGGAAACACUAAAGAAAUAGAAAUAUUGUGGUUUUAUAAAACUUAAAAGAAAUUGGAAUAUCAGGAGACUGCCUGCCGUUUGCAAUGUUGGAUAAUGAGUUCUUAGAUGUGAUGUCGAAAGCCUCAUGAAUAUAGUACCAUGACUUAAUCUAAUUAGAAAAAGAAAUGACAUUGAGGAGAAAACUACUCACCAGUCUUUCACCAAGAACUAGAGAUAACUUUCCAAUAUUUGAAAUAUCAUAAUAUGUAUAGAACUUUAUUGAGCCACCAGUUUUUCACCAGGAAAAUAAGAUCACUUAACUAUUUUUAGCUCAUCUGUCACAAAGUAACAGGGUGAGCUUUUUUGAUCGCUUUUCGUCUGGCGUCCACUUUAAAUGACAUCUCCUCAUAAACUACUAAGCCAAUUUCAUCCAAACUUCACAGGAAUGUUUCUUUGGUGGUCACCUCUAAAUAUUGUUCAUAGAACGCUGGUUAC